rnacentral:rRNA from 1 species
AUUGAACGCUAGCGGGAUGCCUUACACAUGCAAGUCGAACGGAGUGGCGAACGAGUGAGGAAUGUAUCGGAACGUGCCCAGUAGCGGGGGAUAACUACGCGAAAGCGUAGCUAAUACCGCAUACUUUUGGAGCGGCCGCUAUCGGAUUAGCUAGAUGGUGGGGUAACGGCUCACCAAGGCGACGAGCCGUAGCUGGUUUGAGAGGACGACCAGCCACACUGGGACUGAGACACGGCCCAGACUCCUACGGGAGGCAGCAGUGGGGAAUUUUGGACAAUGGGCGAAAGCCUGAUCCAGCCAUGCCGCGUGUGCGAUGAAGGCCUUCGGGUUGUAAAGCACUGUUGGCAGGGAAGCGGUACCUGAAGAAUAAGCACCGGCUAACUACGUGCCAGCAGCCGCGGUAAUAC